GAGUUUGAUCGUGGCUCAGGACGAACGCUGGCGGUAUGCCUAAUACAUGCAAGUCGAGCGCAGGAAGCAGACUGAAGCCUUCGGGUGGAUGUCUGUGGAAUGAGCGGCGGACGGGUGAGUAUCGACGUGGGUAACCUGCCUGUAAGCUUGGGAUAACUCCGGGAAACCGGUGCUAAUACCAGAUAAGAUUUCCGUUCGCAUGAACGGAAAAUGAAAGGCGGC
rnacentral:rRNA from 1 species